rnacentral:lncRNA from 1 species
CCCUCUGAUACUCAGUGUGUCAGUCACACCGGGAUUCAUUCACUGAGUUCCGGGAGCAAGGCAGCUUUUCAAGGCUGGGCACUAAACAGGGGGAGCUUUGUGAGUGCCUAGACUCCUCUGCCGGCCACCUGCUCUUCCUCUCCUUGGCUUCCACGAAGAAAGCUGCAUGAGAGCAGGGAAUUGCUUUGUCCAAUGCUAAUCACUAAAGCUUAGAAUACUGCUUGUUACAUGGGCCAGAAGUCAAGAAUAGGAGAGCAGCAGAAAACCACUAAAUAUGACAGCCAGCUUCACAUGGUUGGGGACCUCUGGCUGGUGAUGUUACCUGCCACAGGAUGUGCCCUGCCCAAUCAGCUUGCCAAGUCUAGCUUGUGCACUGGUUCCUGAGUUCUUGUCCUGUGCCCAAGAAGAAUGAGGAUGUGCUGACCAUUGAAGGAGUCUUGUUCUGUUGACCAGGCUGGAAUGCUGUGGUGUGAUCUCGCCUCAUUUCAACCUCCACCUCCCAGGUUCAAGCGAUUCUCCUGCCUCAGCCUCCCGAGUAGCUGAGACUACAGAGCCACCUCUUAGUUGGACUAUUUCACUGCAACAGUCCCCUUCAGCUGAUGCUGAGUCUAUGGACCGAUUCCGGUCUGAGAACUGGGAAGGAGCUCUAGCUCUCCAAACAGUUAAUCCUGAAAUUUUACUGGGCAUUGAGCGUGCAGAG